GACGAACGCUGGCGGCGUGCUUAACACAUGCAAGUCGAACGAAGAGCGAUGGAAGCUUGCUUCUAUUAAUCUUAGUGGCGAACGGGUGAGUAACGCGUAAUCAACCUGCCCUUCAGAGGGGGACAACAGUUGGAAACGACUGCUAAUACCGCAUACGAUCCAAUCUCGGCAUCGAGACUGGAUGAAAGGUGGCCUCUAUUUAUAAGCUAUCACUGAAGGAGGGGAUUGCGUCUGAUUAGCUAGUUGGAGGGGUAACGGCCCACCAAGGCGAUGAUCAGUAGCCGGUCUGAGAGGAUGAACGGCCACAUUGGGACUGAGACACGGCCCAGACUCCUACGGGAGGCAGCAGUGGGGAAUCUUCCGCAAUGGACGAAAGUCUGACGGAGCAACGCCGCGUGAGUGAUGACGGCCUUCGGGUUGUAAAGCUCUGUUAAUCGGGACGAAUGGUUCUUGUGCGAA
rnacentral:rRNA from 1 species